UCGGGGUGCAGCAGGCGCGAAAACUUGGCAAUGCGAGAAAUCGUGACCAGGGAACUCCAAGUGCAUGGGGUAAGACCCAUGCUUUUCUUGACUCUAAAUAGGUCUUGGAAUAAGGGGUGGGUAAGGACGGUGCCAGCCGCCGCGGUAAUACCGGCGCCUCAAGUGGUAGUCGCUUUUAUUGGGCCUAAAACGUCCGUAGCCGGUCUGAUACAUUCGUGGGUAAAUCAACCAGCUUAACUGGUUGAAUUCUGCGAGGACGGUCAGACUUGGGACCGGGAGAGGUGUGGGGUACGCUCAGGGUAGGGGUAAAAUCCUGUCAUCCUGAGCGGACCACCUGUUGCGAAGGCGCCACACUAGAACGGAUCCGACGGUCAGGGACGAAGCCUAGGGGCACGAACCGGAUUAGAUACCCGGGUAGUCCUAGGUGUAAACGCUGUGGACUUGAUGUUGGGGGUGCUCCGAGCACUCUCAGUGUCGAAGCGAAGGUGAUAAGUCCACUGCCUGGGAAGUACGGCCGCAAGGCUGAAACUUAAAGGAAUUGGCGGGGGAGCACCGCA
rnacentral:rRNA from 1 species